UGGCCUCUCCUCUACUGUGAAGCAGUGAGACUUGACACUUGGCUGUAGACCCCAUGUGGAGACAUCCUUUGAAUGCUUGCUGCAGAAAGCCUUGGUGCCUGGCGCUGUCAGCUUUUGUUUACUUGCCUGAAUUGUGAAGAUUGCAGCUGUUUCUUUCAGUAAAAAGCAGUAGGGGAGUGUACCAACCCAUCUCACAUUGCCCCUCCCCCCAAAUGUUUGCAGAGCCCAACAGCUGUCUUUGUAAAUCCCAUCAUUCAGGAGUGGACUGGAUCUCUCCACCAACAGGAACUGGGGAGCACUGGUGCUGUGAUUGUUGGCCGGCUCAGACUGGCAGGUGGUAAGAUCUGUGUGGUGGUGAAGCCUGAAUCUGCCAGUUUUAAGAACUGGAAGAGAUGGAAGAUCUUCUUGUCUAGCAGUUUCAAAUUAUUUCCAGGAGCUGAAGGUUGUGUUUUGUUUGUUUCCUUCCAUCUUACACCAGGGGUAUUGUGUGAUAAAUAAAAAUACCUGCAGAGAAAGGCAGGGAUACAGAUGAACAAGUGGGCUGGGUAUAGGGAGACCAAGUUAGAUAGCCAGUAAUAUUAGUUCUGGGAAUGGGAGGGGGAACAGAGCCUGGCAAAAGCUAGAUGUAGCUAGGGGAUUUCCACAGUUGCCGUCUAGUAUACUGCUGUCUUUGUCAGGCAUGGGCUCGCUCACUCAAUCAAUAUUUAUUAAGUGCUUACUCAUUCUUGGCUACUGUUUUAGCUAUGCAGAGAACAGUCAAGACCUCUGUUCUCAUCGCAUGUCUAAAGACAGGGAAGGAGAAACAUAACAUAAUGUGGACACUGGUAAGUAGUGAUAAGCUCAAAGAAGAAGAGGAAAACAGAGUAGGGUAUAGGGUCAGUUGGGAAAGAAGAUGUCUUAGCUACAUGUUUAAAGGAGCUCGUUGAAUCAGAGGACAAAAUGGUGGAGAAGGCUUGUGCCCUGUGCGGACAGAUCCACAGCUGGAGAGCAGCGGCACCUCUGAUUUAGCCAUAGUCAAAGUUGGGAAAGACAGCAUCAUGUUAAUGUACCCAGACUGAUCAAUUGUUAAAUGAAGGAAGGAAGACUCUCCCCAGCCCAUGAGAGAAGAUGGAAAAUUUGGACAGUCCCCUCUCUGCUUCGGGGUGGGCACUUUUUCUGCUGUGUGUUCUGCAGUAUGUGAGGUUUUCCUACCCCAGUGAAAGUCUUUCUUCAACUUCUGAUUCCUUCUCUGUUUGCCGUGUUCAAGAUUUCUCCACUGCUUCCUGCUGGCCCUUUUUCUGCCUCUUUAUUCUCUAACAGGCAGAGAAAACAUGGGAACAGCAGUCUCUGAUGUGCUGACUAUGCCACUGUCCUGGUGUGAGAAGAACGUUCUAUCGUUACACAGGUCAGGGGAGGCAAGGGCCACAGCUGCCUGUGUUUGCUUCUUUUAAUUGGGUUGCUUUUGAUUUCCAACUUAUUUGACUUGGGUUCCAGAUUUGUUUUCCCUGUGUGACACCGACUUGGAUGCUAUUAACAGGCCCAUCUGUUUGCUUUGCUUAAAUAAAAUGUAAAUUGGUUUUUGUUUUCAA